GGGCCUGUAGCUCAGAUGGAUAAGAGAGCAGCCGUCUUCUAAACGGCAGGUCAGAGGUUCAAGUCCUCUCAGGCUCA
rnacentral:tRNA from 1 species